CCCUUAGAUGUUCUGGGCUGCACGCGCGCUACACUGAUGCGCUCAACGAGUUUUAACCUUGCCUGGAAAGGUUGGGUAAUCUUUUUAAAACGCAUCGUGAUGGGGAUAGAUUAUUGCAAUUAUUAAUCUUCAACGAGGAAUUCCUAGUAAGCGCGAGUCAUCAGCUCGUGCUGAUUACGUCCCUGCCCUUUGUACACACCGCCCGUCGCACCUACCGAUUGAAUGGUCCGGUGAAGCCUCGGGAUUGUGGCGAGUUCCCUUUAUUGGGAGUUUGUCGCGAGAACUUGUCUAAACCUUAUCAUUUAGAGGAAGGUGAAGUCGUAACA
rnacentral:rRNA from 1 species